rnacentral:rRNA from 1 species
GUAUAAGAGACAGCAGUAGCCGCGGGAAUACGGAGGAUCCAAGCGUUAUCCGGAAUCAUUGGGUUUAAAGGGUCCGUAGGCGGUCUUGUAAGUCAGUGGUGAAAGCCCAUCGCUCAACGGUGGAACGGCCAUUGAUACUGCAGGACUUGAAUUAUUGGGAAGUAACUAGAAUAUGUAGUGUAGCGGUGAAAUGCUUAGAGAUUACAUGGAAUACCAAUUGCGAAGGCAGGUUACUACCAAUUGAUUGACGCUGAUGGACGAAAGCGUGGGUAGCGAACAGGAUUAGAGACCCCCGUAGUCCCUGUCUCUUAUAC